ensembl:lncRNA
AAAGUUGCAAGUAGGAAAAUAGGAAAUCUUAUUUAGACGGUUGCUAGGAAGAGGAAGUAGAUUUAGCUUGUGUGUCUUUGACAAACAGGAAACAGAUUGACAACGCACACACAUAUUGAGGAACUUCAAACCUGAAGACAUAAGGGCAAAUAUGACACUUGUGCUGCAUGUACACAAAUAAGGUAUAGAACAUAAAUUGGACCAAUGGCACACUUGCUUAGGCUACCUCAACCCCCCCAUUAUUAGGUGUGUUUGAAGUAUAAAUAAUGCUGUUAUGAUGAUACAUGUUCAGACAUUGUGCGGCGACACUUGUCUCCAAAAGCUUUUGUAAUAAACGGAAUAUGCGGUACGAUAAUUGACCUGACUCCUGGUGUUUUAUUCUCCUUUCCAACAAACCAACUCGGGGAAGUGUUAGACUUCAACAGAACUAACCAAGAAGUGUUUUGGCAAACUACUACGCUCUCCCCGCUACCAUGGUAACAGUUAGGGUGGGCAUGGGCAAAGGAGCAGCAGCUAUUGAAUAUGCAAUGAGCAGCAGAAAACAGAAAACUUUGAAAGGGACUGAAACAAAGGGUAAUAGAUGGAGAAAUCAAGACUCAUCAGACCAGGCAUCAUUCUUCCAGUCUUCAACUGUCCAGUUUUGGUGAGUGUAUGCUGCCUCUGGAUGAUGCCAUCUGGAAUCACAAUGUCAGUUUUCACUGUUAUGCUGAUAACACACAGUUAUAUAUUUCGAUGAAACAUGGAGAAGCCCCA